UCUCCCUCUAGGCCAGGUUACUCUCCCUCUAGGCCAGGUUACUCUCCCUCUAGGCCAGGUUACUCUCCCUCUAGGCCAGGUUACUCUCUCUCUAGGCCAGGUUACUCUCUCUCUAGGCCAGGUUACUCUCCCUCUAGGCCAGGUUACUCUCUCUCUAGGCCAGGUUACUCUCCCUCUAGGCCAGGUUACUCUCUCUCUAGGCCAGGUUACUCUCUCUCUAGGCCAGGUUACUCUCUCUCUAGGCCAGGUUACUCUCUCUCUAGGCCAGGUUACUCUCUCUCUAGGCCAGGUUACUCUCUCUCUAGGCCUGGUUACUCUCUCUCUAGGCCAGGUUAUUCUCCC